rnacentral:rRNA from 1 species
AGUGAACGCUGGCGGUAGGCCUAACACAUGCAAGUCGAACGGCAGCACAGUAAGAGCUUGCUCUUACGGGUGGCGAGUGGCGGACGGGUGAGGAAUACAUCGGAAUCUACUUUUUCGUGGGGGAUAACGUAGGGAAACUUACGCUAAUACCGCAUACGACCUACGGGUGAAAGCAGGGGAUCUUCGGACCUUGCGCGAUUGAAUGAGCCGAUGUCGGAUUGGCUAGUUGGCGGGGUAAAGGCCCACCAAGGCGACGAUCCGUAGCUGGUCUGAGAGGAUGGUCAGCGACACUGGAGGUGAGACACGGUCCAGACUCCUACGGGAGGCAGCAGUGGGGAAUAUUGGACAAUGGGCGCAAGCCUGAUCCAGCCAUACCGCGUGGGUGAAGAAGGCCUUCGGGUUGUAAAGCCCUUUUGUUGGGAAAGAAAAGCAGCAGGUUAAUACCCCGCUGUUCUGACGGUACCCAAAGAAUAAGCACCGGCUAACUUCGUG